CAUGGCGGGACACCUGGCUUCGGAUUUCGCCUUCUCACCCCCUCCAGGCGGUGGAGGUGAUGGGCCAGGGGGGCCGGAGCCGGGCUGGGUUGAUCCUCGGACCUGGCUAAGCUUCCAAGGCCCUCCUGGAGGGCCAGGAAUCGGGCCGGGGUUUGGGCCAGGCUCUGAGGAGUGGGGGAUUCCCCCAUGUCCCCCGCCGUAUGAGUUCUGCGGGGGGAUGGCGUACUGUGGGCCUCAGACUGGAGUGGGGCUAGUGCCCCAAGACGGCUUGGAGACCUCUCAGCCUGAGGGCGAAGCAGGAGUCGGGGUGGAGAGCAACUCCGAUGGGGCCUCCCCGGAGCCCUGCACCGUCCCCUCUGGUGCCGUGAAGCUGGAGAAGGAGAAGCUGGAGCAAAACCCGGAGGAGUCCCAGGACAUCAAAGCUCUGCAGAAAGAACUCGAGCAAUUUGCCAAGCUCCUGAAGCAGAAGAGGAUCACCCUGGGAUAUACACAGGCCGAUGUGGCUCACCCUGGGGGUUCUAUUUGGGAAGGUGUUCAGCCAAACGACCAUCUGCCGCUUUGAGGCUCUGCAGCUUAGCUUCAAGAACAUGUGUGAGCUGCGGCCCUUGCUGCAGAAGUGGGUGGAGGAAGCUGACAACAAUGAAAAUCUUCAGGAGAUAUGCAAAGCAGAAACCCUCGUGCAGGCCCGAAAGAGAAAGCGAACCAGUAUCGAGAACCAAGUGAGAGGCAACCUGGAGAAUUUGUUCCUGCGGUGCCCGAAACCCACACUGCAGCAGAUCAGCCACAUCGCCCAGCAGCUUGGGCUGGAGAAGGAUGUGGUCCGAGUGUGGUUCUGUAACCGGCGCCAGAAGGGCAAGCGAUCAAGCAGUGGCUAUGCACAACGAGAGGAUUUUGAGGCUGUUGGGUCUCCUUUCUCAGGGGGACCAGUGUCCUUUCCUCUGGCCCCAGGGCCCCAUUUUGGUACCCCAGGCUAUGGGAGCCCUCACUUCACUGCACUGUACUCCUCGGUCCCUUUCCCUGAGGGGGAAGCCUUUCCCCCUGUCUCCGUCACCACUCUGGGCUCUCCCAUGCAUUCAAACUGAGG